rnacentral:tRNA from 1 species
GGAACCGUGGUGUAGGGGUAAGCGUGGUUAUCUCUCACCCAGUCGGCUUUGGUUUGAUCCCAGACGGUCCCG